UGCUCCUCCUACCCACAUGCCCGUGUGCCCGGGGCCUUCCCACUUCAGAGCCUUCACUCAUGCUGUUUCUUCCCUACCCAAAGCAUGUUGCCCACUGGCCUCCUGCAGCCUGGGACUCAGCCAAAGCUGGAGCUCCAAGCAGGAAGCACCCAGGAGGCAGGCUCCCUAGCAGUGCCCUGCAUGCAGCCAGCGCAAAGGAGCAUGGGAAACCAUUGCCGGAUGUGGUCUUGGGGAGGUAAGUCCCUAAGCCCUACUUCCUCCUCUCUCUGAGGGAGCAGACUGCCCCAGAGCCAGAGAGGGAAGGUGUCGAGCGAGUGGCAGAGCUGCAAGGGACCAGGGACUCACAAGCAAGCUAGUACACAUCGCUGCAAGGCCGCGCCAGCUCGAUUGCAGGGGCCUGCUUAUUCCUGGCCUUCUCCCACCCCUAGCCCAUCUCCACUCCCAGUUGAGAACAUAGGAGGGCACCACCACUCUGGAAAACAGCUCGGCAGUUUUAGAUAACGUGAGAAAUUUCAAGUGAGGCUGAACUCUUGGCUUCUGAGCAAACCACCCCACACCCAAGUAUUGAGACUCAGAAUCCUACCCCCUUGUGCAAGAAUGUGAAUGGCCGCACAAUUCAUGGCAGCUAAAAAUGGAAACAGCCGGGUUGUAUCAACAGGAAAAUAGAAGCAGAGUGAUUGCAGCUCUCGCAAAAGGACUCCUGGGAUGCGCAGAACCACGAGGGAGCUCGGAACACCCUGGGUGACCCCCAGGCACACCCCCGACACCACUUUCCCAAGGAAACAGACUCAGCAAGGGGUUGCCUCUAACCUCUGGCUGGCUCAGAUUCACUAUGUAGCUAAUGCCUCCUCCUCCUCCCAAGUGCUGGGAUUACAGCGUGUACCAUCAUGAAAUCAUGAGUCCUCAUUAGUCUCUACCUGCUAUGGUCUCCACCUCACCUUUCUUGUUCUUUUUCAUCUCAUUCUUCUGUCUCCCUAGAACCUUCAGUGGCUCCCCAUUCAUUACCUGCUUAAUAUGGUGGUAGUCCUAGAAACCCACGGCAUCCUCCUUUCCAGCUCUCUGCCUCUCUCCUCGUCCAAAUGUAUGCAUCACUCUGCCCUUGCACUCACCUGUCCCCACUUGAUUCUUUCUUCAGCCUCUACCCAAAUUCCCUCUACAUCCCAAGCACCGCCCCACAUAACCCAUCCCGCCACACCUUGCUGCCUCUCUGCAGAUGUCUGACCUCCUCUUUACAUGUGGAGGUCAAGGACAACAUUGUGGGUCAGUUCCCUCCUUGCACAAGUUCCAGGGCCAGAACUCGGCUCCUCAGGCUUUCCAGUUCAUCCCUUUGACCAGCUACACCAUGGUCUCCGGGCUUGAGAAGCUGAACUCUUGGCCUUGAGCUUAUUAGCUAGGUAAGCACUCUCCACCACUGCUCCCCCCAACCACUCCCCAACCCUUUUAUUUUUCCAGAAGGAAAACUUGACCCCCAGCAGCAGUUUCUGUCGUGUGUCCUUGGCCAGAACCAGCCCCACGCCAUUUUAGAUGGCUUGCACCACCAGUCAGCCAUGGGUCAAGACCUCUGAAAACAUAAUCCAAAGCGAACCUUUUUCUACAUCGAUUCUCCUAGGUGUCUCCUUGCAGGGAAAACUCUGAGGCUUUCGUCUCUUGUGGAAGCGUUCUUUGCCCUCUUUCUGGGGAACCUUGGCUCCACUGAGGCAGUCACAGAUGCUCUCACAGACUGGCCAGGCUGUUUUUGAACUUCAUGUGAAUGGGUCAUACAGUAUGUCUGAUCUCUUUUCCUAAGCAGGAGGGCACAAGACGGAGAGACUAGUUUAGAGGUGUGUGUGUGUGUGUAUAUGUAUGUGUGUGUGUGUGUGUAUGUGUGUGUGUGUGUGUGUGUCUGUGUUUGUGUGUCUGUGUCUGUCUGUGUGUAUGUUUUUAUCAGUUGAGACUUUUGUUGCUAAGCAGUAAGUAAGUGUUUGCUGUUGAGGGACAUUUGGGGUGUGGUUUGCUCAUCAGCUCCAGAGCUGGGUUGUAGUUAGUAGUGUAGGGCUGGUCUUGGGGUUGGAAUCCUCCUGGCCUCCACUUUCCCAGUGCUGGGAUUGCAGUCUACCCGGGACUCCUCCUGAUUCUAUGUAAACUGAGGUAACAAGAAUCCCAGUAGCCCUCAGGAAAUAAGAGGAUCACCAAAAAUCCAAGGCUAGCCUGGUCUACAUUGGGAGUUCUAGGCUAGCCAGUACUAUAUAGCAAGAGUCUGUCUGAGGUUUUAUUAUUUAUUAUCUAUCUAUCUAUCUAUCUAUCUAUCUAUCUAUCUAUCUAUCUAUUUUAUAUGCAUUGG